rnacentral:rRNA from 1 species
GACGGAAGGUGCAAGCGUUGCUCGGAAUCACUGGGCGUAAAGGGUGCGUAGGCGGCUUGGUAAGUUGGGUGUGAAAGCCCCGGGCUCAGCCCGGGAAGGGCACUCGAAACUGCCGAGCUGGAGUGCCGGAGGGGAGAGUGGAAUUCCUGGUGUAGCGGUGAAAUGCGUAGAUAUCAGGAGGAAUACCGGUGGCGAAAGCGACUCUCUGGACGGCAACUGACGCUGAGACGCGAAAAGCGUGGGGAGCGAACAGG